ACCUGGGUGGCUCAGUUGGUUGAGUGCCUGACUUCAGCUCAGGUCGUGAUCUCACUGUUUAUGGGUUCGAGUCCUGCAUCGGGUU
rnacentral:tRNA from 1 species